AUAUAUUUGUCCAAGCCCACACAUCCCUCACUCUCUUUUGCAAAUUAGGGUUUUUGCUACCUCGCAUCUCUUCUCAUCCAAGUUCAUCUCCCUUCGUAACCCUCAAACUUGGCGGAACAGACAGAGAAGGCUUUUUUGAAGCAACCAGGUGUUUUUCUAAGGUCA